GCCUGAUGCAGCGACGCCGCGUGGGGGAUGACGGCCUUCGGGUUGUAAACCUCUUUCACCAUCGACGAAGGUCCGGGUUUUCUCGGAUUGACGGUAGGUGGAGAAGAAGCACCGGCCAACUACGUGCCAGCAGCCGCGGUAAUACGUAGGGUGCGAGCGUUGUCCGGAAUUACUGGGCGUAAAGAGCUCGUAGGCGGUUUGUCGCGUUGUUCGUGAAAUCUCACGGCUUAACUGUGAGCGUGCGGGCGAUACGGGCAGACUAGAGUACUGCAGGGGAGACUGGAAUUCCUGGUGUAGCGGUGGAAUGCGCAGAUAUCAGGAGGAACACCGGUGGCGAAGGCGGGUCUCUGGGCAGUAACUGACGCUGAGGAGCGAAAGCGUGGGGAGCGAACAGGAUUAGAUACCCUGGUAGUCCACGCCGUAAACGGUGGGUACUAGGUGUGGGUUUCCUUCCUUGGGAUCCGUGCCGUAGCUAACGCAUUAAGUACCCCGCCUGGGGAGUACGGCCGCAAGGCUAAAACUCAAAGGAAUUGACGGGGGCCCGCACAAGCGGCGGAGCAUGUGGAUUAAUUCGAUGCAACGCGAAGAACCUUACCUGGGUUUGACAUGCACAGGACGCGUCUAGAGAUAGGCGUUCCCUUGUGGCCUGUGUGCAGGUGGUGCAUGGCUGUCGUCAGCUCGUGUCGUGAGAUGUUGGGUUAAGUCCCGCAACGAGCGCAACCCUUGUCUCAUGUUGCCAGCGGGUAAUGCCGGGGACUCGUGAGAGACUGCCGGGGUCAACUCGGAGGAAGGUGGGGAUGACGUCAAGUCAUCAUGCCCCUUAUGUCCAGGGCUUCACACAUGCUACAAUGGCCGGUACAAAGGGCUGCGAUGCCGUAAGGUUAAGCGAAUCCUUUUAAAGCCGGUCUCAGUUCGGAUUGGGGUCUGCAACUCGACCCCAUGAAGUCGGAGUCGCUAGUAAUCGCAGAUCAGCAACGCUGCGGUGAAUACGUUCCCGGGCCU
rnacentral:rRNA from 1 species